GAUGCGGUGUCCCGGCCAUGGCCGGGGUGAAAAGGGAAUGAGGUGAGAAUCCUCAGCAGGGCCGCUGCUGUAUGGGCGGAUGGGUGUGAUCGGUCAGGGCCACUGAGCAGGAGCUCGGGAAGGCCUUGCCCAAAAAGAAAUGCCGGAAAGAGUCGGAAGGGGACUCCGCUGCCUGAGCCAGAAGACCUGCCGCAUUU
rnacentral:ncRNA from 1 species